CAUAACAGCUUAAUACUCAUAUUUUGAUAAUAUUUUGUAUAUUUAGACAAUUUUGAAUCGAUUUAACUGAACGAAGCGAUGUAAAGAAUUCUUAUGCGGGGUGAAUAUACUCUCUACAGUACAGCAUUAAACACAAUAUUAAAGUGCUGUAAUUUGUUACCUGUUUCAUCGUUGACAUCCUGGUAUAGUGGUAAACAUCGUGGCCAUCUUCCGCGAAAGUUGUGGACCAUUCCCAGGUAAAAGUCUCGAAACCUUUCUUAUAAUUUUUUCUUUAUUUUUUUUCCCAUUAUUUUUUCCAAAUGUCUUCAAAUUGUUCCUCAUAACAGCUUAAUACUCAUAUUUUGAUAAUAUUUUGUAUAUUUAGAUAAUUUUGAGACGAUUUAACUGAACGACGCGAUGUAGAGAAUUCUUAUGCGGGGUGAAUAUACUAUCUACAGUACAGCAAUAAACAAAACAUUGAAGUGCUGUAAUUUGUUACCUGUUUCAUCGUUGACAUCCUGGUAUAGUGGUAAACAUCGUGCCCAUCUUCGGCGAAAGUUGUGGACCAUUCCCAGGCAAAAGUCUCAUAACUUUUCGUAUAAUUUUUUUUUAACUUUUUUUUUUCCAUUAUUUUUUCCAAAAGUCUUCAAAUAGCUCCUCAUAACAGCUUAAUACUCAUAUUUUGAUAAUAUUUUG